rnacentral:rRNA from 1 species
AUUGUACGCUGGCGGCAGGCCUAACACAUGCAAGUCGAGCGGAUGAAGGGAGCUUGCUCCUGGAUUCAGCGGCGGACGGGUGAGUAAUGCCUAGGAAUCUGCCUGGUAGUGGGGAUAACGUCCGGAAACGGGCGCUAAUACCGCAUACGUCCUGAGGGAGAAAGUGGGGGAUCUUCGGACCUCACGCUAUCAGAUGAGCCUAGGUCGGAUUAGCUAGUUGGUGGGGUAAAGGCCUACCAAGGCGACGAUCCGUAACUGGUCUGAGAGGAUGAUCAGUCACACUGGAACUGAGACACGGUCCAGACUCCUACGGGAGGCAGCAGUGGGGAAUAUUGGACAAUGGGCGAAAGCCUGAUCCAGCCAUGCCGCGUGUGUGAAGAAGGUCUUCGGAUUGUAAAGCACUUUAAGUUGGGAGGAAGGGCAGUAAGUUAAUACCUUGCUGUUUUGACGUUACCAACAGAAUAAGCACCGGCUAACUUCGUG